UUGAACAAUUUAGCUGAUCGCACGGUCUAAGAACCGGCGACAUAUCCUUCAAAUGUCUGCCUUAUCAACUUUCGAUGGUAGAUUAUGCGCCUACCAUGGUUGUAACGGGUAACGGAGAAUCAGGGUUUGAUUCCGGAGAGGGAGCCUGAGAAACGGCUACCACAUCCAAGGAAGGCAGCAGGCACGCAAAUUACCCACUCCCGGCACGGGGAGGUAGUGACGAAAAAUAACAAGCUGGUCUCAAUGAGUUCCGGCAUUGUAAUGGGAACAAUUUAAAUCAUUUAUCGAGGAUCUAUUGGAGGGCAAGUCUGGUGCCAGCAGCCGCGGUAAUUCCAGCUCCAAUAGCGUAUAUUAAAGUUGUUGCGGUUAAAAAG
rnacentral:rRNA from 1 species